rnacentral:misc_RNA from 1 species
AACUCGAGAAUCAGAGCAAGCAAAAACCAAGAACUUAGGGCUUUGACCUUUGGCAAGUUGUCCAAACAACUCCGGAUUUUUCUCAUAUUUCUCCGCCUUGAAAUGAGCGAAUCCGGAUCGGAUCUUCUCGUCCGGGUCGGACUUUUUCCCGUCGGCGCCUUCCAGCUCCGCCGUCAACUGCCUUAUCUUCGCCGCAGCUGUAUCUUCCAGCUCAUUCUUUUCACUGAGAAGCUUUUUCAGUCCUGCAAUGGCGUCUUCGUAUGAAUCUUCCGCCAUUUUCGUAACCUCUCGACUGGUAGAAAAUAAAGUCAUUUUCGUUGAUGAUGAAGCUAAGGGAGAAAGAGGAGGAUGAAUAAAACGCUUAAAAAAGAGUAAAUAAACUCACGUUCUUUGUGUUGUGAAGGACUAUUACAAGGAGUAUUUAUAGAAAAGAGAUUUGGGUAUGGAUAAAUAUUUUAUAUAUCUAAAUUGAAAUUUGGAAAAAA